AACUCGCAGAAUAGUUUUCUGUUCUGGGAGUUUCCAAAAUUCAGAAAACCAAUUUUUGUUCUACUUGGACCUGUUUUCAUAGAAUAGUUUUUUAAAAACUCAGAACUCAUAGUAUCAGUUUUUGGAGAACAACUUUUAGGUGUUCUGAGAGUUUUGGAAACUCAGUUCUCAUUUUUUAGAAAACACGAAGAACGCCCCCGACUUGAAAAAAAAUGAUGGUACUUUCACGCUCGUUUAAAACAUUCAUCCUUCAUCAACCCUCUCUCUCCUCUCUGAUAGAACUCACGACUCGCUCUUUCUCAACCGACUCACAGACUCAUCAUCAUUCUUCAGCAUCCACUCUCUCGCCCCAUCAGUAGAUCAAGAAUCCCUUCAGGUAACACGAUUCAUAAUUUUAUUCGUCAAAAUGCACUAGUUGGUUGCUUUUUUAUGGAGUAUGAAGAAGAAGAUUAUGUUAUUGGUGAAGGGAAUGCUAGCACAAGUCAAGGACCGAAUGCAGUUAACUUCUAUGAAGCAAAGUCUAGUGGGAUAGAAUCACAUACCUUUACAAGUGAUGUUCAUCCAAAUUUGAGCUAGAUGAUGUUCAUCCAAAUAGAAUCACAUAUUUCAUUUUUUUCCAUGUCUUUUAAGUUUAGAUGAGAAGUGAGAUGGUUUAUGUACGUAGACAUUGGAUUCAUGUAAUGUUAUGAAUGAAAGAAACCCAGAAUACAAGAGCAGUUCUUUGCUACACAAUUCCUAUGAUAAGAUGGUUUAUGUAUGUAGACAUUGAAUUCAUGUAAUCUUAUGAAUGAAAGAAGCCCCAUAAUACAAGUCUUUUUUUAAUUUUUA